CCUACGGGAGGCAGCAGUGAGGAAUAUUGGUCAAUGGGCGCGAGCCUGAACCAGCCAAGUAGCGUGAAGGAUGACUGCCCUACGGGUUGUACACUUCUUUUAUAAGGGAAUAAAGUGCGGAACGUGUGCCUCUUUGUAUGUACUUUAUGAAUAAGGAUCGGCUAACUCCGUGCCAGCAGCCGCGGUAAUACGGAGGAUCCGAGCGUUAUCCGGAUUUAUUGGGUUUAAAGGGAGCUGAGAUGGGUUGUUAAGUCAGUUGUGAAAGUUUGCGGCCCAACCGUACCAUUGCAAUUGAUACUGGCAGCCGUGAGUACAGUUGAGGUAGGCGGAAUUCGUGGUGUAGCGGUGAAAUGCUUAGAUAUCACGAAGAACUCCGAUUGCGAAGGCAGCCUACUAAACUGCCACUGACAUUGAUGCUCGAAAGUGUGGGUAUCAAACAGGAUUAGAUACCCUUGUAGUC
rnacentral:rRNA from 1 species